UACGAAGGGGGCUAGCGUUGUUCGGAAUUACUGGGCGUAAAGGGCGCGUAGGCGGUGUGUCAAGUCAGGCGUGAAAGCCCCGGGCUCAACCUGGGAACAGCGCUUGAGACUGGCACGCUCGAGUUCGGGAGAGGAUGGUGGAAUUCCCAGUGUAGAGGUGAAAUUCGUAGAUAUUGGGAAGAACACCGAUGGCGAAGGCAGCCAUCUGGACCGACACUGACGCUGAGGCGCGAAAACGUGGGGAGCAAACAGG
rnacentral:rRNA from 1 species